AGGAUAAACGCUGGCGGCGUGCCUAAUGCAUGCAAGUCGCACGGGGUAUCACUUCGGUGGUGCCGAGUGGCGAACGGGUGAGGAACGCGUGGACAACCUACCCCGGCGUGGGGGAUACCCGCCAGAAAUGGCGGCUAAUACCGCGUACGGUUGCCGGACGGAGGGUUCGGCAAAGAAAGCAGCGAUGCGCGCUGGGAGGGGUCUGCGGCCGAUUAGCUAGUUGGUGGGGUAAUGGCCUACCGAAGGCGACGACGGGUA
rnacentral:rRNA from 1 species